rnacentral:rRNA from 1 species
CCUACGGGAGGCAGCAGUGGGGAAUAUUGGACAAUGGGCGAAAGCCUGAUCCAGCCAUGCCGCGUGUGUGAAGAAGGUCUUCGGAUUGUAAAGCACUUUAAGUUGGGAGGAAGGGUUGUAGAUUAAUACUCUGCAAUUUUGACGUUACCAACAGAAUAAGCACCGGCUAACUUCGUGCCAGCAGCCGCGGUAAUACGAAGGGUGCAAGCGUUAAUCGGAAUUACUGGGCGUAAAGCGCGCGUAGGUGGUUCGUUAAGUUGGAUGUGAAAGCCCCGGGCUC